rnacentral:rRNA from 1 species
GAUGAACGCUGGCGGCGUGCUUAACACAUGCAAGUCGAGCGAGAAGUUUUGAAAAGAUUCUUCGGAUGCAAUUUAAAAUGGAAAGCGGCGGACGGGUGAGUAACGCGUAGGCAACCUGCCCCAUACAAAGGGAUAGCAUUUGGAAACGAAUAUUAAUACCUUAUGAAACUUAACUAGUGCAUGCUAGGUAGGUCAAAGAUUUAUCGGUAUGGGAUGGGCCUGCGUCUGAUUAGCUAGUUGGUGAGGUAACGGCUCACCAAGGCGACGAUCAGUAGCCGACCUGGGAGGGUGAACGGCCACAUUGGAACUGAGACACGGUCCAAACUCCUACGGGAGGCAGCAGUGGGGAAUAUUGCACAAUGGGGGAAACCCUGAUGCAGCAACGCCGCGUGAACGAUGAAGGCCUUUGGGUCGUAAAGUUCUGUUCUAGGUGAUGAAAACUGACAGUAACCUAGGAGAAAGCCCCGGCUAACUCCGUG